GAUGAACGCUAGCGGAAGGCAUAAUACAUGCAAGUCGAACGGAUGUAGCAAUACAUUAGUGGCGCACGGGUGCGUAACGUGUAUGCAACCUACCUUCAUCAGGGGGAUAACUACUCGAAAGGGUGGCUAACAGCGCAUAAUACUACUGAAUGGCAUCAUUCGGUAUUUAAAUCUGAGGAGGAUGAAGAUGGGGAUGCGUCUGAUUAGCUAGUUGGUGUGGUAACGGCGCACCAAGGCGACGAUCAGUAGGGGAACUGAGAGGUUGGUCCCCCACACUGGCACUGAGAUACGGGCCAGACUCCUACGGGAGGCAGCAGUAGGGAAUAUCGGUCAAUGGUGGGAACACUGAACCAGCCAUUCCGCGUGCAGGAAGAAGGGUCUCUGACUUGUAAACUGCUUUAGCAAGGGAAGAAAAAGCUCAUGCGUGAGAAAUUGACGGUACCUUGAGAAUAAGCACCGGCUAACUACGUGCCAGCCGCCGCAGUAAAAC
rnacentral:rRNA from 1 species